ensembl:processed_transcript
ACAGAGCGAUUGGUGAACUUUGGGGUUUUGGACAGAUUUUGACCACAAUUCAGGAGGACACUGAAUGCUCUCAGGGAGAUUAAGCAAACUGCCGGUA